AACGUAGGAGACAAACGUUAUCCGGAGUUACUGGGCGUAAAGGGCGUGUAGGUGGUAGUGUAAGUCUGGCGUGAAAUUUUUCGGCUUAACCGGGAAAGGUCGUCGGAUACUGCACAACUAGAGGACGGUAGAGGCGUGUGGAAUUCCGGGUGUAGUGGUGAAAUGCGUAGAGAUCCGGAAGAACACCAGUGGCGAAGGCGACACGCUGGGCCGUACCUGACACUGAUGCGCGAAAGCGUGGGGAGCAAACAGG
rnacentral:rRNA from 1 species